rnacentral:rRNA from 1 species
UUCUAACGAGAGUUUGAUCCUGGCUCAGAAUCAACGCUGGCGGCGUGCCUCAGACAUGCAAGUCGAACGCGAAAGUUUCCUUCGGGAAACAAGUAGAGUGGCGCACGGGUGAGUAACACGUAGGUAAUCUACCUUCGGAUGGGGAAUAACAACCGGAAACGGUUGCUAAUACCGCAUAAUGCAGCGGCACCUAAUGGUGACAGUUGUUAAAGCGGGGGAUCGAAAGACCUCGCGUCUGAAGAGGAGCCUGCGGCGGAUUAGCU